UCAAUAAGCGUGCAACACUCUACGCUCCUCUUCGCUNGUUCGAGUAGUCACUUGAAGAAGGUAUCUUUGGAGUUGGCCCCCGUCUAUGUUCCUUGGAACAGGACGUCACAGAGGGUGAGAAUCCCGUGCGAUGGGGAGACCAAUUCUAUGUAAAGUUCCUUCGAAGAGUCGAGUUGUUUGGGAAUGCAGCUCUAAGUGGGUGGUAAAUUCCAUCUAAAGCUUAAUAUUGGCGAGAGACCGAUAGCGAACAAUUACAGUGAUGGAAAGAUGAAAAGAACUUUGAAAAGAGAGUGAAAAAGUACGUGAAAUUGUUGAAAGGGAAGGGCUUUUGAUCAGACUUGGUGUUUAGUACUCUCUACUCCUUGUGGGUGGGGCUCUUGCUUUAUACUGGGCCAGCAUCGGUUUGGAUGGUAGGAUAAUAGCAUUGGAAUGUGGCUUCAUUCGUGAAGUGUUAUAGCCUUUGUUGAUACUACCUAUCUAGACCGAGGACUGCGUCUUUUGACUAGGAUGCUGGCGUAAUGAUUAAAAGCC
rnacentral:rRNA from 1 species